AUUGAACGCUGGCGGCAUGCUUUACACAUGCAAGUCGAACGGCAGCGCGGGCUUCGGCCUGGCGGCGAGUGGCGAACGGGUGAGUAAUACAUCGGAACGUGCCCAGUAGUGGGGGAUAGCUCGGCGAAAGCCGGAUUAAUACCGCAUACGACCUGAGGGUGAAAGCGGGGGAUCUUCGGACCUCGCGCUAUUGGAGCGGCCGAUGGCAGAUUAGCUAGUUGGUGGGGUAAAGGCCUACCAAGGCGACGAUCUGUAGCUGGUCUGAGAGGACGACCAGCCACACGGGGACUGAGACACGGCCCAGACUCCGACGGGAGGCAGCAGUGGGGAAUUUUGGACAAUGGGCGAAAGCCUGAUCCAGCAAUGCCGCGUGUGGGAUGAAGGCCUUCGGGUUGUAAAGCACUUUUGGCGGGAACGAAAAGGACUGUGCAAAUACCACGGUUCGAUGACGGUACCCGCAGAAUAAGCACCGGCUAACUACGUG
rnacentral:rRNA from 1 species